rnacentral:rRNA from 1 species
UACAGAGGGUGCAAGCGUUGUUCGGAAUUAUUGGGCGUAAAGGGCGCGUAGGCGGCUUUUCAAGUGACGGGUGAAAUCCCUCGGCUUAACCGAGGAACUGCCUGUCAGACUGGAAGGCUUGAGACCGGGAGAGGUGAGUGGAAUUCCCAGUGUAGCGGUGAAAUGCGUAGAUAUUGGGAGGAACACCAGUGGCGAAGGCGGCUCGCUGGACCGGAACUGACGCUGAGGCGCGAAAGCGUGGGGAGCAAACAGG